rnacentral:lncRNA from 1 species
CCGUGCGCAACCCCCUAUCAUUUGGUAUUAGAUUUUGGGCGUUUUGGGUGGUCUUGGUUGAUUUCUAAACUGAUCUCCUUUUAAAAACAUUAAGCAGCAGUUUUUACCCAGAAAAUUUUUUGGAAAAAUUCAUUUGAGUGGGUAAACAUUUUCCGCUUGAUUUGAAAUUUUACAUGCACAUUUUUCGCACUGUGAUAGAAUACUAAAAAAUAUUUCCCACAAAAAAAAUCAGUAGAAAAAUUCAAAAAAAUUGAAAAAGACGAAAUCAAGAAAAAAAUUAAACAAAUAUUCAGCAGGUUGAGUUCAGUGGCGAAACUUUCCAGAUCAAAUAUACACUAUUUAAGGACAUUGUAGUUUAAAUUUCGUGAUUUUUUGAGAUCGGGAACACCUCGAACGAAGUUGUCAAGUUACUCCGCAGUUUUUCAGGUUUUCAGGUUUC